rnacentral:rRNA from 1 species
GGUAGCAAUACACCGGCGUACGGGUGCGUAACGCGUAUGGAACCUGCCCUUAUCUGGGGGAUAACUCGGGGAAACUCGAGCUAAUACCGCAUAAGAUAGUAGAAUGGCAUCAUUCAGCUAUUAAAGAUUUAUUGGAUAAGGAUGGCCAUGCGUAAGAUUAGAUAGUUGGCGAGGUAACGGCUCACCAAGUCUACGAUCUUUAGGGGCUCUGAGAGGAGAAUCCCCCACACUGGCACUGAGAUACGGGCCAGACUCCUACGGGAGGCAGCAGUAGGGAAUAUUGGGCAAUGGGCGAAAGCCUGACCCAGCCACGCCGCGUGCAGGAAGACGGCCCUCUGGGUUGUAAACUGCUUUUAACUGGGAAGAAAAGAGGCCUUGCGAGGCAAGUUGACGGUACCAGUUGAAUAAGCCACGGCUAACUACGUGCCAGCAGCCGCGGUAAUACGUAGGUGGCGAGCGUUAUCCGGAUUUAUUGGGUUUAAAGGGAGCGUAGGCGGCUGAUUAAGUCAGCGGUGAAAGGUAGCAGCUUAACUGUUUUACAUGCCGUUGAUACUGGUUAGCUUGAGUUGACAGAAGGCAGAUAGAAUUCCUGAUGUAGCGGUGAAAUGCUUAGAUAUCAGGAGGAAUACCGAUUGCGAAGGCAGUCUGCUGCAGUCACACUGACGCUGAGGCUCGAAGGUGCGGGGAUCAAACAGGAUUAGAUACCCUGGUAGUCCGCACAGUAAACGAUGAUUACUAGAUGUUGGCCAAGCCAGUGUCCAAGGGAAACCGAUAAGUAAUC